rnacentral:rRNA from 1 species
CCUACGGGAGGCAGCAGUGAGGAAUAUUGGUCAAUGGACGAGAGUCUGAACCAGCCAAGUAGCGUGAAGGAUGACUGCCCUAUGGGUUGUAAACUUCUUUUAUAUGGGAAUAAAAUGUUCCACGUGUGGGAUUUUGUAUGUACCAUAUGAAUAAGGAUCGGCUAACUCCGUGCCAGCAGCCGCGGUAAUACGGAGGAUCCGAGCGUUAUCCGGAUUUAUUGGGUUUAAAGGGAGCGUAGGUGGAUUGUUAAGUCAGUUGUGAAAGUUUGUGGCUCAACCGUAAAAGUGCAGUUGAAACUGGCAGUCUUGAGUACAGUAGAGGUGGGCGGAAUUCGUGGUGUAGCGGUGAAAUGCUUAGAUAUCACGAAGAACUCCGAUUGCGAAGGCAGUUCACUGGACUGCAACUGACACUGAGGCUCGAAAGUGUGGGUAUCAAACAGGAUUAGAUACCCCAGUAGUC